UAUCCUUUUAAAACUGUGUCCUCACUGGACAAAAUAGUCAUUAACUUCGCCACUGUGCAUUCCGUGCUGGUGUCAAUAUUAAACGUGUCAAUUGGAUGAGUACUUGUAUGUCUUCACAGCUAAGGAUAGUUGUGGAUCAGCACACAAAAAGGGAUUAUCAAUCUAAGGGCUUUUCAAUCUUAAUCGAUUUGCUGAGCUGCUGCUGCUUCUCAAGUGAGUCUUCACGGUUGUUAUUGAUAUGCUACUUUGUCAGGAUACAAAAGGGCUUUUCAUCGAUUUCUUCAUCGCUGAGUUGCUUUUUCUCUUAGGCAAGUCUUCACGGCUGUUAUUGAUGCUAAACUGUUGUUGAAAUUUUCCAACAACAGUUUUACCAAUUUCAAACAAAGGGAGUAUAUUAGUAACACGUCGUUUGGAUUGUUGGUACAUAUUGUUUCAAAGGAUUUCUAUGCCCUUCAACGAAGGGAAAUAUUGCUAACACCAUUUGUUUGAAAGGUUUUCUACACUUUUAACUCUUUUCUCUCUCUUUUUCUAAUGAUUCUGUUGGAGCAUUCAGUGCUGUGUAUAAUUAGUGGCUUUAAAGAGGCGAUGAUGUUUUUGUCAUAUUUUAUUCCCUUCUGAUCAGAUUAAUGAGCAUUUGAUGUUAUCCGACGCGUAUCUUGGCGGGCCAUGCCACCAAAUUUUCUGAUGGUUUUGCAGCCAUGGCGUUGUUGGAAUCUCUUGCUGCCUGAGCUUAAUGUAUAUCUGAGUCUCAAUUUUGUCUGUUCAGCUUGGAUUUGUUUUAUACUUAGAGCGUGUUUGGUAGAAAGGAAAAUAUUUUCUAGUGUUGAGGAACAUAAAGCAAAAAAUAUCAGAAGGGAAGGAAUGAGGCUACACAGAGCAGAGGAUUUUCGUUGAAAGGGUAGUUGCCUCUCUCUGCUUUCAGCCUAUGAUUUCUCCAUUAAUGUGAGAGCCCCAAUAACACUUCUAUCAAUUCCAAACAAAGGGAGUAUAUUAGUAACAUGUCGUUUGGAUUGUUGUUACAUAUUGUUUCAAAGGGUUUCCAUGCCCUUCAACGCGUUUUUUUUUUCUUGUUAAUGCUUCAUCGGACUUUGAAUGUUGCCGGUGGAAGCAAUGGUGGUGAGUGUUAUUGGUGGCUUUAAAAAGGCAAUGAUGAUUUUUGCCAAUUUUUAUUCCCUUUUGAGCUGAUUCAUCCAGCAUUUGAGAUUAUCUGAUACGUUCUUGGCGGGGCAUGUUCUCAGAUUUUCUGCUGGUUUUUGCUGCCAUGGCGUGGUUGGACUCUCUUUUUGCUUGAGCUUAAUACAGAUCUGAGCCUCACUUUCUCUAUCAUUUUAGGAGUUGAAUAAAGCAAAAAGCUCAGAAGGAAAGGAAUGAGGCUAACAGGGAGUUGACAAUUUUUCAUUGAAAGCGUGGUUGCAUCUCUGAGACAAGAGCAAAGUAUUACAACUUUAAAAAUCUUUUGAGGAGUACAUGACCAGUCAAGGGUGUCUUAUUUCUCAUUUUGUUACAUAUGAAAUUUAGUGCGAUACUUAAAUGUUAGUACAAUGUUUUCGAUGCAGCAGCAACCAAGUGCCAUUCAUAACCAACAAGAAGAUGCAAUAUGUCGUACGCCUGCCGAUAAAUGUAUCUUGAGUUUUAAGCUCAGAUUGCCAACUCCAGAGAUAGAAAGGGCUGUGUAUAUAAAGGAGAUAUUGGAACGUAAAUCAUCUCUGAAAACGCUUCUCUUGCUAUUGGUUCUGACGGGAACAUCAAUGAUAAUAGGGGAUGGUAUCUUAGACACCAGCAAUAACAAUUAUGUCUGCUGUUAGCGGAUUGAAGGGUAGGAUAACAGGAUUUAAUACAGGUGCAUUUGCUUUUUAUCUAUCCUGUUACUGCAAAUGACUACUACUGAGAAGCUAAGAUGUUUGUGCUCUAUCAAAAUGUUAAAUUAUUACUGUUGGGAACUUUUUCAUGGAAAACCAUUAAUGUGAUUGAUUGUUACAACAACUGCUCUCAUUAUAACCGCUUUAUUCAGCAUACAGAGAUUUGAGUCAAGUAAAGUUGGUUUCACUUUCGCUCCAACUCUAGCACUGUUGUUUUCCAGUCUGGGGUCGAUGGGACUUUACAAACUGCUGACGCAUGAUGUUACAGUUAUAAGGGCUAUAAAUCCAGCUAAUAUCUAUCUCUUCUUCAAGAAGAACUCGACCAACAGAUGGUCAGCUCUUGGUGGCUGUGUAUUGUGCAUCACUGGAGCAGAAGCAACGUUUGCGGAUUUAGGCCAUUUUUCUAUGAAGUCUAUACAGGUUUGGUUCUAUUUGCAAUUGGUUCAGAAACUUCCGGCUCUUUUACUUAUGCAGCUUUUCACUGUGGUGUGACGGCACUGCAGCCCACUUUUGGAGCUGUUGGCCGCUCGGGUGUUAUGAGCAUAGCUGAAAGCUUGGAUAAAUUAGGCCCUUUUUGUAGAAAUUCUGCGGAUUGUGUGAUUGUUCUGGUCUUCUGGAUAUCAUUUGGGGGAAGGACCCAGAUGAUGUUUCAUCCAGAGACGUUCCCUUCACAGAUCCUUCUUCAGUUAACAGAAGAUGCAGAUAUCUGUUAUGACAGAAUCAAGGAUAUUCCUUGCAUCACUUGUCCGAAUAAACCUGAAGAAUCUAUGUUUGUGAUGGUGAAACCUUCAUUUGAACCUUCUCAAAGACAUCAAAGAUGACUUGGAAUUCUGUUUCAAGCUGGCGAAGGAAGAAUCUUUGAUGAUUUUACCUGGUAAAAGAAAAAAUACUCUUAGAAAGCUAAUAAAACUGUCGAAAACAAUAGCCAGGUUUUCUCACUCGAACAAAUGUCUCUUUCGUGGAAGACUGUCUUUUCAAAUUUCAUUAUUUUUUUGACGUCUUCGAAUGUUUCUCAUAUGCUUUUAGUCGUUAGGGAAUUCGUAUUCACGGAUCAUAAUUUGAUUCUUUUAUCACGCAAACAAGCCUUUAAUUGCAUCCAAUUCAGAAAUCACUUCUUAUGAUUUAUAUAUAGUUCAGUUCAGCCACUAAAACUGAUGCAUAUUCAUGUCCGAGUAUCAUUGCAACUGAUGCAAAGGUAGACAUUUUUCAAAUUUUAUUAGACUUCAUGAAUGUGUCAUCUUGUAUGAACAUGAAAUUUGUCAUAGCUUUCGUGUUGGUGCGUUGAUUCACAGCAUGAACAACAUUUCCUAUCCAAGUAGUUGUAAUUGAUCAGUUACCUGGGAACUACCACAUACCCAUAAAUAUAAAUGUACCAUGUCCUAUUACUGUAGGUUGGUUGUUAUAAAAAAGUGGCAUUUCAUUAUGUUACCGUUUUGCAGCAAAGUGAUCUGAUGUUCUUACAGUGCAAGUGAACUAUUUGCUUAUCUACCAUUCCUUGGAUCAAGUCAGUGAACUAUUUGCUUAACUACAUUCCUUACAUCAAGUCAUUUUAUGAAAAGCAUUAUACUGUAAGCAUGGUUGAUUUUUAAUAAAAAGAUCAACGCGAACUCUAUUUUUGCAGGGAUACUACUCUUAUUAGAUGUUGAUUGCAUAUGGAGGAACCAUCUCAAUGAGAAUGAUGAAUCCAUUUACAUUUUUCUGGUGUGGAUGCUAAAUCAGGAGUGUGAAACGACAGUUACGUAAAAUAUUUAUAACAGCCACCAAUUCUCUUGAGCUUAAAAAUUGUAGAGGUCGAGGCAAUACCAAGUCAAACACGAACUUGUAAGACAACACUACUUAAUAUGACACAAUAGAAAUAAUGGGAAAAAAAUGGUGAGGAGAUGAACUAACCGAGGGUUUGGAUUGGUAUCCUCCUAGUGUAAUUUUUAGCGCACAUUUUUGUAAAGAUAAGAAUAGUAUUAUGUCCUCUUGUAAUUUGUACAAGAAAACAAUCCUUUUUAUUUUAUAGGGGGGAUGAAGGAAAUUUUGUUUUGUUUCA